rnacentral:rRNA from 1 species
GACGAACGCUGGCGGCGUGCUUAACACAUGCAAGUCGAGCGAUGAAGUUCCUUCGGGAAUGGAUUAGCGGCGGACGGGUGAGUAACACGUGGGUAACCUGCCUCAUAGAGGGGAAUAGCCUUUCGAAAGGAAGAUUAAUACCGCAUAAGAUUGUAGUUUCGCAUGAAGUAGCAAUUAAAGGAGUAAUCCGCUAUGAGAUGGACCCGCGUCGCAUUAGCUAGUUGGUGAGGUAACGGCUCACCAAGGCGACGAUGCGUAGCCGACCUGAGAGGGUGAUCGGCCACAUUGGGACUGAGACACGGCCCAGACUCCUACGGGAGGCAGCAGUGGGGAAUAUUGCACAAUGGGGGAAACCCUGAUGCAGCAACGCCGCGUGAGUGAUGACGGUCUUCGGAUUGUAAAACUCUGUCUUCAGGGACGAUAAUGACGGUACCUGAGGAGGAAGCCACGGCUAACUACGUGCCAGCCGCCGCAGUAACAC